AAUUAUGUAUCUAUCGUAAGAGUUUUUCUGAGAUAAUGCUAUUUUUUUGUGUGUUUGGAUUUCAGUCCUUGGUAUUUACAGAUGUUGCUACUGUUGUUGCUGCUGACAGCCUCUUCCUUGGUGGGACCUGGGUGAUAGCUGCCAGGUCAUGAGCCUCAUCUUCACUGCCCAGUGUUUGCUCAAUGGUUCCUGUUUGUAGAAUCAUCCCCUUUUCACCCCUCCUCAGAUCAUCCUUCAAAUGGUGUUCCUAGGUAGGGCUCCACAUUCCAGAUAUAGGUAGACAAAUACAGCCCAUGGACUGCCUGGUUUUGCAAAUAAAGUUCUAUUGGAUCACGUGUUAUUUGUUGAUAUUUGGUCUGUGGCCCUUUUGGCCUGCAAAGGCAGUGUUGAGUAGCUCCAUCAGAGAUCCAGUGGCCCAUAAAGCCUACCCUUUACAGGAAAUGAUUGCCUACCUUGCUUUGGAUCAUUACUUAACAGUGAUGGUUUAAUUUCCCUCUCCAUUCACCAAAGAUACUUCUGGCAUCUCAGAAACUCAUUUAUUUACCUCAUUCGUUACUGCUUAUAACAAGUCUUUUUCCUAUUUUACAGAUGGGCCAGCUAGAACGCAUCAAACUAGAUGCUUAUAAGGCCUCCACCAGAGUCCUACAGUCAGUCAGUUAUACCAUGUACUUCAACAUCAAGUUUUGAGCUUCAUCUCUAGAAAUUCCUUUUGUUAUAUCCUAACCUGAAGAAUGUGGCCAUAUCAUACCUUGGUGCCUUAUGCCUUGACCCCCUCCUUCCUACACAGCUCUUUGCAAUGAGAAUAUGGAAAAUAACAAAUUAAUGUGAGAUAAGGCAGACAGGUGACACCAAAUGUGAUCAGAAGCCAUGCCCAUGGUGAAGAGGUAUACUGAACCCGGCCUGGCCCAGUGAGGUUACUAGAGAAUUGGGAAAGGCUUAAAUAAGUAUCCUGCACAUGGUUAUCAAAUCAUUGUAAAGUCUUGAAAAUCAUCUGGAAUGCUUGUUAAAAAUGCAGAUUUCUGGGCAGCCAGAAACCUUGCACUAGUCAAGAGCAACACUAAGACCCACCUGUCAUUUAUAUUGAGGCUUCCUGCCCGGUGGGUUCAUCAGCAAGCCAGAAUGAAUCACCAUUGCUGUGUGUGGAUCCUUGUGAGGCAGCUGGGAAGUCUUGGCUAAAUUGUGAAGGAUGUCUUUUGAAAAGUGUUCUAGAGAGUCUACUGGUUUUCCCACAUGAGUGAACGUGUAGCAGAAGAGAGGAUUCUCUCAGUGAUUAAGGCGACCUUAGAAACAACUUGUUGAGUUCUCACCAUGAAUACCAUUGGAAUUGCAGUUGGAAUGGCAUUAAACACGUAGAUUAAUUUUUGGAGAGCGAUCAUCUUUAUAAUCUUCUCCUACAUGAAUGUGUUUCUCCUCUGCUGCCUUUUGAGCUGCCAGGCACUGUGCUGGGUGAUGGGGAUAUGGAGACGAGUUAGACACAGUUCCUGCCCUCAGGAGUUCUCAGUCUAGUGAGAGAGUUCGACAUGUACACAGAUAAUUACAACAUAUGGUAUGCUCUACAAUGGAGUCUUGGCUACUUGCAGAUGUUGCAUGCCUGCUGCUGCUGCUGCUGCUACUACUACUACAGUUGCUGCUGAUUGCUCCUUGGGUAGGACCAAAGUGAUCAUUGAUCAGAAACUUCAUCCUCACAGUCUGGGGGUUGCUCCUGUGGCUGGUAUUCACAGUUUCCCCUUUCAACUUUACCUCAGCUAUCCCCUUACCUACAGUGACAGGUAGGCCUCCACUUUCCAUUCACCACUCAACAGGCUCCUAUUUCCUUUUCCUUCUUUAGUCUGAUUAAUGACUCUUGUUCCAUGAGAAGCCUUCUUUCUGGUAGAAGAUGUGACAAAUAGAGUACAAGUUAAAUGAUCCGUCAGGGCGCUACAGUGAGUCGUAUAAGCUGCCCUUUAAUGUGGGAGAAAAUGGAGUAUGCUUGCAGACUUUGGGGCAGGAAGAACAGAGAAGGAAGUCAUUGUUGAUGGGGGAAAGAAAGACACUAACAGAUGGAAUAAGUUCCUGAAAAAUGAUGGCAGAAGGGAAGGUGAAACCUAUGACUCUAAAAUAGGGGGAGAGAGAGCACCUCAGAUGAAAGGAAUUACCUCCUCGCUGGAGCAUAGGGAUAGGAGUUAGGAGAAACAUGUGACAAGGGUGUUGAAGAUUUGUAAUUGUUGAUGUGGAUGAUGGAGAGGAAGCUGACAGGAUUAUGGGACAGGGAUUAUGGGACAGGAUUAUGGGGACAAAUAAUCCAGGAACAGGAUUAUGGGGACAAAUCCAGGGACAGGAUUAUGGGACAAACCAGAGUCCAAGGGAUAUUUGGGCCAAAAGGCUAGAGUGGGGCCUUUCGGUCUAUUAAAGUGAGAUACUAUUAUAUUAAAUUAUAUACUAAAUUAAAGUAAGAAACCAGAAACUUGAGAAACUUUAAAGUGGUCUUAGGCCACCAGUCACAAGUAACUUGAUUGCCUGGGACUGACCUUUAUUGGUUGAGGGAUGGACAGCUAGCAAGAGAGGGGCUACACAGAAAUGAAUUUGAAACUCCAGACUAUAUGUGGAAGGAAGUUAGACCAGAAGUGAGCUGAAAGUGUGUGAAUGAAAAAAGGCCCUAGUGUGAUCAAGAUGGGUGUUGGGUAGUUGGAAAUUGGAAUAAUAGAACCUGUAAUCAGAGAGUGGAUUUUGAAACAUUAAGAUUGCAAAACCAGAGUGGUCAAGGUAACUUGUGAAGUGAGGUUGUCAGAUGGUCAGUUACAUAAAUACUGAAGUAACCCCGGACUAUAGCAAAAGCCAAGCUGGGAAUGAACUCUGGAGGCCAGGUGUAACAGGCCUUGAUGCCUGAGGAGUGAUUUAGAGGUUGGCACAUGGCAACUGUGCAGGUGUAAGAGAAGAAACGAUGUAGUGGGAUAGUUGUAUGAGCCACGGAGGAGCGGUAGGGAUCAUUAGAAGUUACCAAAACCAUGAUCUACACAUUGCUCCGAGGUGUUGGCUUGCAGAAUGCCUAGCUAAAGUGAUCCCCUCCUCUAUCGGGUGCUUGCUCUAUACCCAGCACCUUGCUGUGUGCUAACCAUUUACCCUGUCUGGGUCUGUCACAUAUCAGGUAUGAGAAAAUAAGCAGCAUUCCCGAGCAAGGACAGUUAGGGGAGCUGCUGGCCCUUUGAAUUGACAGAAUGCUGUGGCCGUGUCUACAGACUGGUCAGCUUGAAGUGGCAUCAAAAGAUUUCUUUUGGACCCAAAUUUUUCCUUGACCUUGACCUAACUUUAUCCAUGUGGUACAAGUUUGUGUUGGCUGUUCCAUAAUGUACUUUGACUUCUGAGUCUCUGACUUGAGGAGUAUGCUAGAACUGUCCUUUAAAAAACAACAGGCACAGCACAUUAAAAACACAGAUUAAUUAACUAGAACAAAGGGGCCCUGUUACAUAAUUGAGCUUUUAAGAUAAAGGAUAGACAAAAGAAAGCUCCCAUCAGUGUGUAACAACAGCACUUUGUGACAGCCACUCUAAGGUCAGGAUACAUCUAGUUUAGUGGCCAUAUUGUACAUAUUCCCUGUGUUGUUGGGAAGAAGGGCUGGAAAUUGAUGCAGAGAGAUGUCCCUUAGGACUUGGAAUGUAAAGUUUAGGAGAAGAGAAUCUCCAUGAAUCCUGUGACACUGCAUGUCAUCAUUUUUCCUCUGUUAUAGUCUUUGAAUGAGUCAAUAUUUCAAUGAAGGGGUAGAGCCCUUGAGACAGAGUUCCCAGGCCCUUAGACGGUGCAUCCCCUCCUUUGGGGCCGCUUUAUAUUUAUUCCUCAGGAAGAUCUGGUAGAAGACUUCGUGUGAGGAAGAAGAAAAAGAAAGAAGCAGAGAAUCACUACAGCAUGUCUUCAUAUCAGCUUCACAAAGCACGACUCAACAGAGGGCUUACUCUCUUGAGACUCCAGACCACAGGCCAUCUGUAACAGCCUUUCAUCUGGAAGGAGCCUUGUGAAUGAGUGAAUGAAACUUCAGUGUUCAGCUGCAAUACAAGUCCAGUGCUUGAAGAAGCAAAGAGGGCAACAAGCCUCCAGGGGACAACAGUGUGGUCUUCUAAGUGAAGA